CACACCACACCAUAUACUCAAUGGCCAUAUGCACACACACAGUUUUGCCAUUGUUAGCAACCCACCGACCACCUCAAGGCCACAGACGCACACUAUUCCACUACUAUUGGCCAAUCAUCGGCCACCAUAAGGCCACACACGCACUGCUCUACCUCUGUUCGCCUUUCACUGGCCAUUUCAAGGCCACACGCACAUUAUUCCAACAAGGCCACACAUGCACU
rnacentral:lncRNA from 1 species